GAUCUCAAAUCAGGUAGGGAUACCCGCUGAACUUAAGCAUAUCAAUAAGCGGAGGAAAAGAAACUAACAAGGAUUCCCCUAGUAAUGGCGAAUGAAGCGGGAAAAGCUCAAAUUUGAAAUCUGGCCGUUCCGCGGUCCGAGUUGUAAUUUCAAGAAGCGUCUUCGGAUGCGGCCCGGGUUUAAGUUCCUUGGAACAGGACGUCAUAGAGGGUGAGAACCCCGUCUUUGGCCCGGUGACCGUGUUCAUGUGAAGCGUUUUCGAAGAGUCGAGUUGUUUGGGAAUGCAGCUCUAAAUGGGUGGUAAAUUCCAUCUAAAGCUAAAUAUUGGUGGGAGACCGAUAGCGAACAAGUAGAGUGAUCGAAAGGUGAAAAGAACUUUGAAAAGAGAGUUAAACAGUACGUGAAAUUGUUGAAAGGGAAGCGCUUGAAGUCAG
rnacentral:rRNA from 1 species